GAGGUGAUACAUCACGCUGGAGGACUGAACCACGUGAACCGUUCUAAAUAUGUUCUGUGCCCCGUCAACGUGUGCUGCUAUCCUUUGGAAAGUGGCGUAACGUUGGCUUGAGGCUGAACGAAGGUUGGCUUUGUACUCGUGUGGCUCUCGGGCUGCGCGGUGGAAGAGCUUACCGAUGUCUAUUUCAAACCCAUUAACUAAAUACUGAUCCUUACUCCGAGGACGAAAGUCUUUGGUUUUAAUCCAUUAACAACUUUCAGCAGUGGAUGUCUAGGCUCGCACAUCGAUGAAGAACGCUGCGAACUGCGAUACGUAAUGCGAAUUGCAGGAUUCAGUGAGUCAUCGAAAUUUUGAACGCAUAUUGCACUUUCGGGUUAUGCCUGGAAGUAUGCCUGUAUCAGUGUCCGUACAUCAAACUUGCCUUUCUUUUUCUGUGUAGUCAGGAAAAGAGAUGGCAGAAUGUGAGGUGUCUCGAGCCGUCCCCAUCUGGGAGAUAGCACGAGUCCCUUUAAAUGUACGUUGAUCUCUCUUGUGUCUUAGUAGAAGUGUAAUGCUCGACCGCAGUGAUCUGUUCAGAUUGCUUUGCGCUGGUGGGCGACUCCGGAGAGGACAUUAAGGAGGCGACCUCUAAUGGCGGAUGUUAGGCUUCGCCCCAACUUCCAGCUGACGGGGGGUGCUUUCCGUCUUUCCUUGAGGGAAACGGCCGGGGGAAGUCCAACUGGGCCCUGGGUAU
rnacentral:rRNA from 1 species